rnacentral:rRNA from 1 species
AGCGUACACGGUGGAUGCCCUGGCAGUCAGAGGCGAUGAAGGGCGUGCUAAUCUGCGAUAAGCGCCGGUAAGGUGAUAUGAACCGUUAUAACCGGCGAUACCCGAAUGGGGAAACCCAGUGUGACUCGUCACACUAUCAUUAACUGAAUCCAUAGGUUAAUGAGGCGAACCGGGGGAACUGAAACAUCUAAGUACCCCGAGGAAAAGAAAUCAACCGAGAUUCCCCCAGUAGCGGCGAGCGAACGGGGAGGAGCCCAGAGCCUGAAUCAGCAUGUGUGUUAGUGGAAGCGUCUGGAAAGGCGCGCGAUACAGGGUGACAGCCCCGUACACAAAAGCGCAUGUGCUGUGAGCUCGAUGAGUAGGGCGGGACACGUGGUAUCCUGUCUGAAUAUGGGGGGACCAUCCUCCAAGGCUAAAUACUCCUGACUGACCGAUAGUGAACCAGUACCGUGAGGGAAAGGCGAAAAGAACCCCGGCGAGGGGAGUGAAAAAGAACCUGAAACCGUGUACGUACAAGCAGUGGGAGCACCCUUUGGGUGUGACUGCGUACCUUUUGUAUAAUGGGUCAGCGACUUAUAUUCUGUAGCAAGGUUAACCGAAUAGGGGAGCCGGAGGGAAACCGAGUCUUAAUUGGGCGUUAAGUUGCAGGGUAUAGACCCGAAACCCGGUGAUCUAGCCAUGGGCAGGUUGAAGGUUGGGUAACACUAACUGGAGGACCGAACCGACUAAUGUUGAAAAAUUAGCGGAUGACCUGUGGCUGGGGGUGAAAGGCCAAUCAAACCGGGAGAUAGCUGGUUCUCCCCGAAAGCUAUUUAGGUAGCGCCUCGUGAAUUCAUCUCCGGGGGUAGAGCACUGUUUCGGCUAGGGGGCCAUCCCGGCUUACCAACCCGAUGCAAACUGCGAAUACCGGAGAAUGUUAUCACGGGAGACACACGGCGGGUGCUAACGUCCGUCGUGAAGAGGGAAACAACCCAGACCGCCAGCUAAGGUCCCAAAGUCAUGGUUAAGUGGGAAACGAUGUGGGAAGGCCCAGACAGCCAGGAUGUUGGCUUAGAAGCAGCCAUCAUUUAAAGAAAGCGUAAUAGCUCACUGGUCGAGUCGGCCUGCGCGGAAGAUGUAACGGGGCUAAACCAUGCACCGAAGCUGCGGCAGCGACACUGUGUGUUGUUGGGUAGGGGAGCGUUCUGUAAGCCUGUGAAGGUGUGUCGUGAGGCAUGCUGGAGGUAUCAGAAGUGCGAAUGCUGACAUAAGUAACGAUAAAGCGGGUGAAAAGCCCGCUCGCCGGAAGACCAAGGGUUCCUGUCCAACGUUAAUCGGGGCAGGGUGAGUCGACCCCUAAGGCGAGGCCGAAAGGCGUAGUCGAUGGGAAACGGGUUAAUAUUCCCGUACUUGGUGUUACUGCGAAGGGGGGACGGAGAAGGCUAUGUUGGCCGGGCGACGGUUGUCCCGGUUUAAGCGUGUAGGUGUGUGUUCCAGGUAAAUCCGGUUCACUUUAACACUGAGGCGUGACGACGAGGCACUACGGUGCUGAAGCAACAAAUGCCCUGCUUCCAGGAAAAGCCUCUAAGCAUCAGGUAACAUCAAAUCGUACCCCAAACCGACACAGGUGGUCAGGUAGAGAAUACCAAGGCGCUUGAGAGAACUCGGGUGAAGGAACUAGGCAAAAUGGUGCCGUAACUUCGGGAGAAGGCACGCUGACACGUAGGUGAAGUGAUUUACUCAUGGAGCUGAAGUCAGUCGAAGAUACCAGCUGGCUGCAACUGUUUAUUAAAAACACAGCACUGUGCAAACACGAAAGUGGACGUAUACGGUGUGACGCCUGCCCGGUGCCGGAAGGUUAAUUGAUGGGGUCAGCGCAAGCGAAGCUCCUGAUCGAAGCCCCGGUAAACGGCGGCCGUAACUAUAACGGUCCUAAGGUAGCGAAAUUCCUUGUCGGGUAAGUUCCGACCUGCACGAAUGGCGUAAUGAUGGCCAGGCUGUCUCCACCCGAGACUCAGUGAAAUUGAACUCGCUGUGAAGAUGCAGUGUACCCGCGGCAAGACGGAAAGACCCCGUGAACCUUUACUAUAGCUUGACACUGAACAUUGAGCCUUGAUGUGUAGGAUAGGUGGGAGGCUUUGAAGUGUGGACGCCAGUCUGCAUGGAGCCGACCUUGAAAUACCACCCUUUAAUGUUUGAUGUUCUAACGUGGACCCGUUACCCGGGUUGCGGACAGUGUCUGGUGGGUAGUUUGACUGGGGCGGUCUCCUCCUAAAGAGUAACGGAGGAGCACGAAGGUUGGCUAAUCCUGGUCGGACAUCAGGAGGUUAGUGCAAUGGCAUAAGCCAGCUUGACUGCGAGCGUGACGGCGCGAGCAGGUGCGAAAGCAGGUCAUAGUGAUCCGGUGGUUCUGAAUGGAAGGGCCAUCGCUCAACGGAUAAAAGGUACUCCGGGGAUAACAGGCUGAUACCGCCCAAGAGUUCAUAUCGACGGCGGUGUUUGGCACCUCGAUGUCGGCUCAUCACAUCCUGGGGCUGAAGUAGGUCCCAAGGGUAUGGCUGUUCGCCAUUUAAAGUGGUACGCGAGCUGGGUUUAGAACGUCGUGAGACAGUUCGGUCCCUAUCUGCCGUGGGCGCUGGAGAACUGAGGGGGGCUGCUCCUAGUACGAGAGGACCGGAGUGGACGCAUCACUGGUGUUCGGGUUGUCAUGCCAAUGGCACUGCCCGGUAGCUAAAUGCGGAAGAGAUAAGUGCUGAAAGCAUCUAAGCACGAAACUUGCCCCGAGAUGAGUUCU